rnacentral:lncRNA from 1 species
AUCAACAGAUUUUUGAAUGUGGAAAUAUUAGUGGGGCAUGCUGUAUUUGGGGUAUUUGGGGUUUAUUGUUUCUACAGGUGGACCGUUCCAAGUGGCAUGAUUCAGAGGAUUUGUUUGUCAGCAACGGAUCAAAUGGUUGUCCACUAAAUACCCUAGCAAGUAUGAAUGCGGCAUGGACCUAUGGGCUUUGUGUCUACUUGAAGAGCUACUGCACCAGCUCUCAGCAUUCAGUAUUUUCAAGACCACCAUGCACUUCUAACACAGACUUACAAGGAAAGUAUUCUAAGUAGGACCAUGUGCUGACCAUGGCCUUUUGGACCACCAUUUGGAAACUGCUGCUUUUUAAUAUUUAUUUAUUAGUCUAUAGCAGAACUCUUUUGGCCACAGCAUGAGCAUGCAUUUUAACAGUGUUAGUACUAUAAAAAUCUUAACACUGACUGUCUUGAUUUUUUUCUUAGAUAAAUCUUUCACUAUUAUUGUUCUACUUUUUUCAUAGUUGAUUUGCUGUAUUGGAAAAUGUAAGUUAUCACACUUGAAUAACUGUACAUGUGGAAUCAUUUAAAAAAUAAAAAAUACAUUUCCACAUAUGGACUUUUCA